rnacentral:rRNA from 1 species
AUGAACCUCACACCCAUGAGCUCAGGUUUGUCCAACCUAAACAAAGCACAGACAAUAGAGCUCGUUACCUCAACAUGUGAUAUUAGAGGCACGGAAAAUCAACAAGUUCAAUGCACAAAUAUGGUUGUUGAUCAGCCUACAUGGGCUGGGAAUCUUGUGAGCAAUUCUGGUGAUGUUUCUACAUUUCUUAGAAAGCUAAUUGACCAAGGAAAAGUUAGUGUUGGUGAUAUACAAUCAGAACUGAGUCUCUCAUCUGAAUCGUUGGAAGCUGCUCUUGAGAAAAUUGGGGGCAAAUCAUGGCUGGAGCAUAUGUGA